UGAGUAUUCACAAAUUCAUCUUGGCUUUGGACUCACCUCUAUGAGGCCAGCAUUUUGACAGGAGACAGAGUUUGGAGAAUGCCUCUUUUUGAACAUUACACAAAACAAGUAACAGACUGUCCUCUUGCAGAUGUGAGUAACAUUGGAAAGUACAGCAGAGCCGGAGGAGCAUGCACAGCUGCUGCAUUCCUGAAGGAGUUUGUGACUGCCUCUCACUGGGCUCAUUUGGAUAUUGCUGGUGUGAUGUCGAAUAAAGAUGAGGUGCCCUAUCUUCGAAGGGCAUGG